AUUGAACGCUGGCGGCAUGCUUUACACAUGCAAGUCGAACGGCAGCGCGGGCUUCGGCCUGGCGGCGAGUGGCGAACGGGUGAGUAAUGCAUCGGAACGUGCCCAGUAGUGGGGGAUAGCCCGGCGAAAGCCGGAUUAAUACCGCAUACGACCUGAGGGUGAAAGCGGGGGACCGAAAGGCCUCGCGCUAUUGGAGCGGCCGAUGUCGGAUUAGCUAGUUGGUGGGGUAAAGGCUUACCAAGGCGACGAUCCGUAGCUGGUCUGAGAGGACGACCAGCCACACUGGAACUGAGACACGGCCCAGGCUCCUGCGGGAGGCAGCAGUGGGGAAUUUUGGACAAUGGGGGCAACCCUGAUCCAGCCAUGCCGCGUGCGGGAAGAAGGCCUUCGGGUUGUAAACCGCUUUUGUUCGGGAAGAAAUCCUCUGGGCUAAUACCCCGGGGGGAUGACGGUACCGGAAGAAUAAGCACCGGCUAACUACGUG
rnacentral:rRNA from 1 species